AAUAAAAUUAUUUAUGGUUUAAAAAUUUAUUAUAAAUUUAUUUUACAUAUAAAUUUUAGUGUUAAUUUUUAAUUUAUUUAAAUAAAUAAUUAAUAAUUUAUUUGUAGUGAAUUUAAAAUUAAAAAUUUAAGUAAUUAAGAUUUAGUAAUAUUUAAAUUAAUAACAAAUUUUGUGCCAGCAGUUGCGGUUAUACAAAAAUUAAAUUAAAUUUUUUUAGGAAUUAAUCAAUAAUAGAUUAUAUAAUAAAAUUAAAAUUUAAAUUAUUAAGUGAAAUUUUAAUUUAUGAAAAUUUUAUAUUGAAUUAUGAAUUAAAAAAUUUUAUUAAAAACUAGGAUUAGAUACCCUAUUAUUAAAAAUUUAAAUUAAUAAUACUAAAAUAGUAUAUAAUUAUUUAUAAAAACUUAAAUAAUUUGGCGGUAUUUUAGUUUAUUUAGAGGAAUCUGUUUAUUAAUUGAUAUUCCACGAAUAAAUUUACUUAAUUUAUUUAAUUUUGUAUAUCGUUGUUAAAAAAAUAUUUUAAAAUAAUAAUAAUAUUUUAAUUUUUAUAUUAAAAGUUAAAUCAGAUCAAGAUGCAGAUUAUAAUUAAGAAUAUAAUGGAUUACAAUAAAUUUAUUUAAUUGGAUGUUAUUUUUAAAAAAUUAAUUGAAAUUGGAUUUAAAUGUAAUUUUAUUUAAUUUAUUAAAAUGAUUUUAAUUUAAAAUAUGUACAUAUUGCCCGUCGCUUUCAUUAAUAAAUUGAAAUAAGUCGUAACAAAGUAGAGGUACUGGAAAGUGUUUCUAGAAAGAGUA
rnacentral:ncRNA from 1 species